rnacentral:lncRNA from 1 species
GGACGUGUAGGCGGAGCAAGGCUGUUCGUAAAGGGCGGUAUGGGGGUGUUGUACGUGAGUUCCAUGUGGUGUGGAAGUAUUGGGGGUGUUAGGAGAGCAGUUUACUGGAGGGGAGGCCGUGCUGUUUCCCCCCUAAGUGAGGAGAUGUUGAGCUUGGACUGAGUGGGCUUGGGUGUCUCCGUGUGGUAACACCACAGAGGAGGCUCUGUGAAGAUAAGGCUUAGUGAGGAAACAUAAGAAACAGCAAAGGAACAGAAAUGUGGGAGAAGUGUUGCCGAAGUACAUGAAGCCAAGGAAGUGCUAGGAGGAAAGCAAAACUGGGAAGAAAAUUUUCUUUCUGAAGUGUGAUCAAGUCUCUCCUGAAUUGAAACUUUGGUCAUCACUGUGGAAUUCCUGGUAUGAGAAUGCAGAGCGUCAGAGUAGAGAGUGGAUCCUUGCUGAACAACUGUAAUCAUGAAGGCAGUUCUUAUAAUUGUCCUAAUCAUCUUCACUUCGCUGUCUUC